rnacentral:rRNA from 1 species
GAUGAACGCUGGCGGCGUGCCUAAUACAUGCAAGUCGAGCGAACGGACGAGAAGCUUGCUUCUCUGAUGUUAGCGGCGGACGGGUGAGUAACACGUGGAUAACCUACCUAUAAGACUGGGAUAACUUCGGGAAACCGGAGCUAAUACCGGAUAAUAUUUUGAACCGCAUGGUUCAGAAGUGAAAGACGGUCUUGCUGUCACUUAUAGAUGGAUCCGCGCUGCAUUAGCUAGUUGGUAAGGUAACGGCUUACCAAGGCAACGAUGCAUAGCCGACCUGAGAGGGUGAUCGGCCACACUGGAACUGAGACACGGUCCAGACUCCUACGGGAGGCAGCAGUAGGGAAUCUUCCGCAAUGGGCGAAAGCCUGACGGAGCAACGCCGCGUGAGUGAUGAAGGUCUUCGGAUCGUAAAACUCUGUUAUUAGGGAAGAACAUAUGUGUAAGUAACUGUGCACAUCUUGACGGUACCUAAUCAGAAAGCCACGGCUAACUACGUGCCAGCAGCCGCGGUAAUACGUAGGUGGCAAGCGUUAUCCGGAAUUAUUGGGCGUAAAGCGCGCGUAGGCGGUUUUUUAGUCUGAUGUGAAAGCCCACGGCUCAACCGUGGAGGGUCAUUGGAAACUGGAAAACUUGAGUGCAGAAGAGGAAAGUGGAAUUCCAUGUGUAGCGGUGAAAUGCGCAGAGAUAUGGAGGAACACCAGUGGCGAAGGCGACUUUCUGGUCUGUAACUGACGCUGAUGUGCGAAAGCGUGGGGAUCAAACAGGAUUAGAUACCCUGGUAGUCCACGCCGUAAACGAUGAGUGCUAAGUGUUAGGGGGUUUCCGCCCCUUAGUGCUGCAGCUAACGCAUUAAGCACUCCGCCUGGGGAGUACGACCGCAAGGUUGAAACUCAAAGGAAUUGACGGGGACCCGCACAAGCGGUGGAGCAUGUGGUUUAAUUCGAAGCAACGCGAAGAACCUUACCAAAUCUUGACAUCCUUUGACAACUCUAGAGAUAGAGCUUUCCCCUUCGGGGGACAAAGUGACAGGUGGUGCAUGGUUGUCGUCAGCUCGUGUCGUGAGAUGUUGGGUUAAGUCCCGCAACGAGCGCAACCCUUAAGCUUAGUUGCCAUCAUUAAGUUGGGCACUCUAAGUUGACUGCCGGUGACAAACCGGAGGAAGGUGGGGAUGACGUCAAAUCAUCAUGCCCCUUAUGAUUUGGGCUACACACGUGCUACAAUGGACAAUACAAAGGGCAGCGAAACCGCGAGGUCAAGCAAAUCCCAUAAAGUUGUUCUCAGUUCGGAUUGUAGUCUGCAACUCGACUACAUGAAGCUGGAAUCGCUAGUAAUCGUAGAUCAGCAUGCUACGGUGAAUACGUUCCCGGGUCU